rnacentral:tRNA from 1 species
AAGGUGUAGCGCAGUCUGGUAGCGCAUCUGUUUUGGGUACAGAGGGUCAUAGGUUCGAAUCCUGUCACCUUGAG